UACGGGGGGAGCAAGCGUUGUUCGGAUUUACUGGGCGUAAAGGGCGCGUAGGCGGUCGUGACAAGUCACUUGUGAAAUCUCCGGGCUUAACUCGGAACGGUCAAGUGAUACUGUCGGACUAGAGUACAGAAGGGGCAACUGGAAUUCUCGGUGUAGCAGUGAAAUGCGUAGAUAUCGAGAGGAACACCUGCGGCGAAGACGGGUUGCUGGGCUGAUACUGACGCUGAGGCGCGAAAGCGUGGGGAGCAAACAGG
rnacentral:rRNA from 1 species